rnacentral:rRNA from 1 species
AACGAACGCUGGCGGCAUGCCUAACACAUGCAAGUCGAACGAGACCUUCGGGUCUAGUGGCGCACGGGUGCGUAACGCGUGGGAACCUGCCUUUAGGUUCGGAAUAACUCAGAGAAAUUUGAGCUAAUACCGGAUAAUGUCUUCGGACCAAAGAUUUAUCGCCUUUAGAUGGGCCCGCGUUGGAUUAGCUAGUUGGUGGGUAAAGGCCUACCAAGGCGACGAUCCAUAGCUGGUCUGAGAGGAUGAUCAGCCACACUGGGACUGAGACACGGCCCAGACUCCUACGGGAGGCAGCAGUGGGGAAUAUUGGACAAUGGGCGAAAGCCUGAUCCAGCAAUGCCGCGUGAGUGAUGAAGGCCUUAGGGUUGUAAAGCUCUUUUACCCGAGAUGAUAAUGACAGUAUCGGGAGAAUAAGCUCCGGCUAACUCCGUGCCAGCAGCCGCGGU